rnacentral:rRNA from 1 species
UACGUAGGGUGCAAGCGUUGUCCGGAAUUAUUGGGCGUAAAGAGCGUGUAGGCGGCCCGACCAGUCCGCUGUGAAAGUCCAGGGCUCAACCCGGGAAUGCCGGUGGAUACUGUCGGGCUAGAGUCCGGAAGGGGCGAGUGGAAUUCCUGGUGUAGCGGUGAAAUGCGCAGAUAUCAGGAGGAACACCAAUGGCGAAGGCAGCUCGCUGGGACGUGACUGACGCUGAGACGCGAAAGCGUGGGGAGCAAACAGG